rnacentral:misc_RNA from 1 species
UCGUGGGGCUUCGGCCCUCUCGAGAUAGAAACCCUUGCCUUUUCGAGUACCCUUCGUUUCCUCGGCAGGCUCGCCUGCCAAUGGGGACCCAACCAAACCCUUUGUAUAAGCAGUAUACGUCUGAAAAUAAUACAAAAUAUUA